CAAGUUUCUGGGAGUGCACAUAAUGCAUGAUCUCACCUGCUCCCCCAAAACCACCUCUUCAGCAAGAAAACACUACAGCAUCUCCACUUCCAUCAGAGAUUGAGAUUCUGUCAGAAAUUUAACUUCAAAAUUGUAGGAUGGAUCAUCCAGCAAAUGAAAAGCUCAGCCUAGUCACUUGAAGCGGAAAAUGAAUGAUCAGCAGUCAAAGGAAGAUACGUUGAUGAACCAAGAGAGAAACAG